rnacentral:tRNA from 1 species
GGGGCUGUGGCUCAGUGGGAGAGCAUCUGCUGGACAGGCAGGAGGUCCCAGGUUCGAUCCCCGGCACCUCCA